AAACAAAACUUCUAUUUUUCCUGUUUAUCAUCCAAAUAGAGAUAUUGAAUAAACAAUGCGAGGUAUGAAUCUGGAGAUAUAAAUUUGAGAUCCAUCAGGAUUAGAUGAUUUGACCCUCGGGAUGGGGAGUAGCUGGAAGAGAGGACCAAGAGAAGUAGAGGUUAAAGAUAAGCAGAGUUGGCAGUCAGGUUAGAGGAACGUCCAGGAAGGAAGGAAGUAGUUAGGGAGUUGUUUUAGGAAAGUCAGUGACAGUCCCCUUGCCUACUGCUGAAAUAGCUAAGACAGUUGAGUUUCAAUCUCUGCCUCACCCCCGCCUCACAGUCCCCAUCCCCGUCACACUGGUUGGUUCAUGCUAGACAAACUCUGCCACUGAGCUGCACCCCCAGUCCAGAGUUGGGAAUUUAACCACUAAUUUUGGCCUGAUGAAGACUGCUGAGGAGCUUAAUGAAAACCCUUUCCGUGUUACCAUAUGGGGAAAGGUCUGGUUAGAGGGUAAGAAUGAGAGAGAGUGAGGAGGAGAGGUAAGGAGUUGCCUGAGCCUAGUAGUAGUAGUAGUGGGAAGGCUGUGGGGAUCCAGGAACAGUGUUUAAAGCCAAGUUACUUCCUUGUGGCAUUAGAGUGAAAAAUAAAGUUACCAAGCAGAGACCAGAGGAGACACCUAGAGAAACUAUAGGAAGUAAGAAGCAGUGAGUCCUAGCCUGGUGCUGAAGCAGUUGGUCUUGAAUAGGAACAAGGACAGUAAUCACAGACUGGUUUGUAGCAAAGGCACAGACACAAGAGCGCAUAGGCGUGUGUUUGAGGUGCGGAGCAGAGGAGACGAGUGAGAGCUCAAGUCUAGUGGGCUGAGUUUGACCUUGUGGAAAGGGCACUUUUCUACUGUUCUCCCUUGGAGUGGCACCUUUUGUCAGUUUUCCAUGCCCCCAUCUUCACACACACUCACACCCGCACCACACACACAUGCACGCACCCACGCGCCCUUGCAUCCAUGCCCUUCCCAUUCCUUGUGUAUAUUUUUUUUCCAGUUUAUACUAAGUGCUGUAAGUGUUGCCUGCGGAUGGAUGGAUGAGAUCAGAUCUGACCUGUGUGCUUUCUUUUAGCCUCUCUUAACAUGGUGGUCAUAUAUCUACACUGAGAUCACUCCGCAAGGUACGGUCCGUUGCUGAUGAGAGUCAAUGCGAGAAGGGUGAGAGAGGUGCCCAUGUCUCAAAUUUGGGGGAGGACAAGUGAAUCUAUUUUAUAAAGGAGAAGGUAAUAUAAUUAAUCACUCUAAUGCUUCUACCUGGACGAAGAUGGAAGUUUAGAAGGUGGACGACAUUGUGAAGUUGGUGACAUCACUCAAGCGUGAUGACAGCUGGCUGGCCAGUAGGUCACCAUUUCCCUUUGUUGCAUUCCACUUCCCACAUGCUGGGAAGGCAAGGCUGAGGAGGACAUGUGAGACGGGCAGGCUUCAGGGUCUGAACCAACACUAGCCUAGCUGUCAUCUGUGGGAAGUGGCUUUCGGUUGACCAGUGGCACUUCCCAGUGUCAGCACGCGUGUUGUGUCAGCAGCUCAGACUCUGCGCUAGGGGGCCCCUGUCCUCAGCCAUCCUCCAUCUUGGGAAAACUCUCUGGUGUAACGAGCAGGGCCUCAGUGGGGAGGUAGGAUGCAGCCUCAGCGAAGCAGAUGGUUGGGUACUUGAACAGCAAUCUAGUACAGGAAGGAGAAGACUCUGAGAAUUGAGGAAUGAAUGGUAAUUGGAUUGGAACCUUAUCUUUAUUCUCGUAACUUUGAUAGAGACCUGGCAGCACCUUGCACUACAAUCUCCCUUAAUAAAGGGCAUUACCAUGCCAUGACCCAACUCACGUGUCCUGCCCCAUACAUAUUGAAAUCUCCCUUUCAACUUUGGAAGAGGGUGUGUUGGAGUAGAUCUUCUUGAAACUUUGUUCUCAUCUUCCAGGGUGAGAGAGGAAGAGGGAGAGGAAGAAAGACAGAGACAGACAGACAGACAGACAGACAGACAGACACAGACAGAGACACAGAGACACAGAGACACAGAGACACAGAGGCAGAGAGAGAAUGAGAGAACAUUACAGGUUGACAAGGUAGCAAAAUAAUUCCAAGGCAGCUGUUCUAGGAUUUCCUGAAAUAGAAGAGUGAAUAUUUGCUAGAUAUAAAGGUGAGGCCUGUAGGUUCCUUGUUUCUCCACCAUUUUUAUUAUGAUCUCUUGCCCCAGAAAAGGAGGAAAACAAACUAAGAAUGAGUGCCUCUCCCCCAGCACAUUCUAACUUGGCGUAUCAGCAUGGUAUCGGGGAGGAGGAAUCGGCAACUGACAUUUACCUAGUGCUAACUCUACUUGUUUAAACCGUUAUAUGUUAUCUAUAUAACUGCACUGAACACUGGGAUACAGAGGCAUACUGUGUCUGUGUUGUUAUCCCCAUUUUAAAAGAGAACGCCAUUGGGCUCUUGUAGUUAGGAAAUGAUGAGGUCAAACUCUAAAACCCAAGGCUUCCUGGCUGCAAAGUCCACUUUCUUUCCAGUUGCCUUGCUGAAGUGCCUGCUCUGAAUGAAGAAGAACUGGGUCCUGCAGUAUGUCCACAGGAAGAAGACUGUGUGUGAGUGCAGCCUCCAUGUUCACUGUGCCUCAUGCCAUCCCUGAUGUCAGGGGGAAAUGAAUGGUCAUUUAAAAAUUCCGGCUGGCUAAAGAGCUGGUGGUUUGAAUGAAUGCAUCUAAUUGCAAAAUGUGAAGGACUGCCCCUGGUAUUAAAAAGAUGGAUGAUUCUGUGAAGGGAAUGUGCUAAGACUUGUUUGUUGAAAAUGGAAUUAUUAAUGACUUGUCAGUAAAUUUAAGAAUGCCUUAAAUCAUUCCACUCUUACUCUUUUCAUACAAGGAAUAAAACAGAUGAAUUUAUAAAGGG
rnacentral:sRNA from 1 species